rnacentral:rRNA from 1 species
CAGUCGCCGCGGGAAUACGGAGGGUGCAAGCGUUAAUCGGAAUUACUGGGCGUAAAGCGCACGCAGGCGGUUUGUUAAGUCAGAUGUGAAAUCCCCGGGCUCAACCUGGGAACUGCAUUUGAAACUGGCAAGCUAGAGUCUCGUAGAGGGGGGUAGAAUUCCAGGUGUAGCGGUGAAAUGCGUAGAGAUCUGGAGGAAUACCGGUGGCGAAGGCGGCCCCCUGGACGAAGACUGACGCUCAGGUGCGAAAGCGUGGGGAGCAAACAGGAUUAGAUACCCCAGUAGUCCCUGUCUCUUAUAU